UACGCAUGCGAGCAAAUUGCAGAACGGAAACACAGAGAGACUUCAUUUCAUCUCCUUCGUCGACGGAGCUCUCACGGAUAUGAAGUUCUUAUUAAUUGUCACGUUUGCAACACUGAUUGUCGUGGUUCAAUCAUGCGGAGGUGGUAAUUCACAUGCCGAACCAGAGGACGACAGCUUCGGAGGACGAAGAAGGCAAUGCGAUUCCGAUAGAUGCUCGAACAGUGCCCAGUGUGGCGAAGACUGCAUCUGCAAGCCUCCUAUUAGCAACGCCCUAUCGAAUAGGUGCCAGCUGGGGCCACUGAAGCAACGAUGAAUAUUUGCUGUGGCUCAUGGCCAGCUGCGAUUCCUACGGACAUCCUUUUGCCCACCGCUAUGAUCGCAUAAAUUGUCCAGUAAACGUCAUUGAUAGCUAC